rnacentral:rRNA from 1 species
GCCUACUGCCAUACCACCCUGAACGAGCCCAAUCUUGUCUGCUCUCGGAAGCUAAGCAGGGUCAGGUCUGGUCAGUACUUGGAUGGGAGAUGGGAUUUCACUAUACA